rnacentral:rRNA from 1 species
AUUGAACGCUGGCGGCAGGCCUAACACAUGCAAGUCGAACGAGUGGCGGACGGGUGAGUAAUGUCUGGGAAACUGCCUGAUGGUGGGGGAUCACUAAUGGAAACGGUAGCUAAUACCGCAUACCAUCAGAUGUGCCCCGAUGGGAGUAGCUAGUUGGGGGGGUAACGGCUCACACAGGCGACGACCCCUAGCUGGUCUGAGAGGAUGACCAGCCACACGGGAACUUAGACACGGUCCAGCCUCCUACGGGAGGCAGCAGUGGGGAAUAUUGCACAAUGGGCGCAAGCCGGAUGCAGCCAUGACGCGUGUAUGAAGAAGGCCUUCGGGUUGUAAAGUACUUUCAGCGGGGAGGCGUUACCCGCAGAAGAAGCACCGGCUAACUCCGUGCCAGCAGCCGCGGUAAUUC